AUUGAACGCUGGCGGCAGGCCUAACACAUGCAAGUCGAGCGGGGUUUUCGGACCUAGCGGCGGACUGGUGAGUAAUGCGUAGGAAGCUGCCCGAUAGAGGGGGAUACCAGUUGGAAACGACUGUUAAUACCGCAUAAUGUCUACGGACCAAAGUGUGGGACCUUCGGGCCACAUGCUAUCGGAUGCGCCUACGUGGGAUUAGCUAGUUGGUGAGGUAAUGGCUCACCAAGGCGACGAUCUCUAGCUGGUUUGAGAGGAUGAUCAGCCACACUGGAACUGAGACACGGGCCAGACUCCUACGGGAGGCAGCAGUGGGGAAUAUUGGACAAUGGGCGCAAGCCUGAUCCAGCCAUGCCGCGUGUGUGAAGAAGGCCUUCGGGUUGUAAAGCACUUUCAGCGAGGAGGAAGGGUGGUGUGUUAAUAGCACAUCAUUUUGACGUUACUCGCAGAAGAAGCACCGGCUAACUCUGUGCCAGCCGCCGCCGUAAAAC
rnacentral:rRNA from 1 species